rnacentral:rRNA from 1 species
UACGGAGGGUGCGAGCGUUGUCCGGAAUCAUUGGGCGUAAAGGGCGCGUAGGUGGUCUGAUAAGGGUGUGGUGAAAGUCCGGGGCUCAACCCCGGAUCUGCCGUGCCGACUGUCAGACUCGAGGACUGUAGAGGCAGGCGGAAUUCCGGGUGUAGCGGUGGAAUGCGUAGAGAUCCGGAGGAGACCGGUGGCGAAGGCGGCCUGCUGGGCAGUUACUGACACUGAGGCGCGACAGCGUGGGGAGCAACAGG